rnacentral:rRNA from 1 species
CCUACGGGCGGCAGCAGUGAGGAAUAUUGGUCAAUGGACGAGAGUCUGAACCAGCCAAGUAGCGUGAAGGAUGACGGCCCUAUGGGUUGUAAACUUCUUUUAUAUGGGAAUAAAAUGCUCCACGUGUGGGAUUUUGUAUGUACCAUAUGAAUAAGGCUCGGCUAACUCCGUGCCAGCAGCCGCGGUAAUACGGAGGGUCCGAGCGUUAUCCGGAUUUAUUGGGUUUAAAGGGAGCGUAGGUGGAUUGUUAAGUCAGUUGUGAAAGUUUGCGGCUCAACCGUAUAAUUGCAGUUGAAACUGGCGGUCUUGAGUACAGUAGAGGUGGGCGGAAUACGUGGUGUAGCGGUGAAAUGCUUAGAUAUCACGAAGAACUCCGAUUGCGAAGGCAGCUAUCUGGACUGCAACUGACACUGAGGCUCGAAAGUGUGGGUAUCAAACAGGAUUAGAUACCCGAGUAGUC